rnacentral:rRNA from 1 species
AUUGAACGCUGGCGGCAGGCCUAACACAUGCAAGUCGAACGAGUGGCGGACGGGUGAGUAAUGUCUGGGAAACUGCCUGAUGGAGGGGGAUAACUACUGGAAACGGUAGCUAAUACCGCAUACCAUUCGAGGUGCCCAGAUGGGAUUAGCUUGUUGGUGGGGUAACGGCUAACCAAGGCGACGAUCCCUAGAUGGUCUGAGAGGAUGACCAGCCACACUGGGACUGAGACACGGCCCAGACUCCUACGGGAGGCAGCAGUAGGUAAUCUUCGGCAAUGGACGAAAGCCUGACCCAGCCACGCCGCGUGAGUGAAGAAGGUUUUCGGAUCGUAAAACUCUGUUGGUAGAGAAGCGGUAUCUAACCAGAAAGCCACGGCUAACUACGUGCCAGCAGCCGCGGUAAUAC